AGUGAACGCUGGCGGUAGGCCUAACACAUGCAAGUCGAACGGCAGCACAGUAAGAGCUUGCUCUUACGGGUGGCGAGUGGCGGACGGGUGAGGAAUACAUCGGAAUCUACUUUUUCGUGGGGGAUAACGUAGGGAAACUUACGCUAAUACCGCAUACGACCUACGGGUGAAAGCAGUGGAUCUUCGGACCUUGCGCGAUUGAAUGAGCCGAUGUCGGAUUAGCUAGUUGGCGGGGUAAAGGCCCACCAAGGCGACGAUCCGUAGCUGGUCUGUGAGGAUGAUCAGCCACACUGGAACUGAGACACGGUCCAGACUCCUACGGGAGGCAGCAGUGGGGAAUAUUGGACAAUGGGCGCAAGCCUGAUCCAGCCAUACCGCGUGAGUGAAGAAGGCCUUCGGGUUGUAAAGCCCUUUUGUUAGGAAAGAAAAGCAGCAGGUUAAUACCCCGCUGUUCUGACGGUACCCAAAGAAUAAGCACCGGCUAACUUCGUG
rnacentral:rRNA from 1 species